rnacentral:tRNA from 1 species
GGAAAGGUGGCAGAGCGGUUGAAUGCAUCGGUUUUGAAAACCGACCUCUGUGCAAGCAGAGCGAGGGUUCGAAUCCCUCCCUUUCCG